CCGGCAACCCCGGAGUGACAAUAGCCGGUACCACUCCCGGAGAUGACCAUAGUAUGAGGAGUUCAUGUAUUCACUAAGUCCCAAUGCUUUUUUUGGGUUCUUUAUUAAAAGGAGAACCUUAAUAUCCCGCAGUUUCCAUUAGGACCCCACUGCCACGGGAGGGAUGGACAAUAGAUGUCAUGCAAGUUCUUUUCCCUAAGCACGUAUGACUACAUACAGAAUACAUGCCUACAUUACAUUGAUGAAUUGGAGUUAGUUAUAUAUCUGCCCAUGUUAUAACUGUUGCAUGAUAAAUAUCAUCCGGCAUAAUUAUCCAUCACCGAUCCAAUGCCUACGAGUCUUUUCCUACUGGUCCUUGCUACUCUUACU
rnacentral:lncRNA from 1 species